rnacentral:rRNA from 1 species
AUGUCAUCCCAGGUCUCCCCCUUCAUCACGUGGGAUGAUUUCGCCCUGCCCGCUGGAGUGCACCCACCAGGCACCUUGGUGGUGUCACUGGACGGGAAGGGGCACUCCCGUACCGUCCAGGGCGCCGUGGAUAUGGUGCCUGAUGGCAACACAGCGCGCGUCAAGAUCAUUAUAAUGCCAGGCACCUACAGGGAGAAGGUUUUUGUGCCAAAGAAGAAGCCUUUCGUGUCCUUCAUUGGCGCGGGAGCAGGCAAAACGACGAUAACCUGGAACUCUACAGCAGCUCAGGCCGGUUCAACAUAUGAAUCAUAUUCAGUUGCCAUUGAUGCCGACUACUUUUGCGCAUGCAACAUCACUUUCGUGAAUUCUGCUCCAGCGCCGCUGCCGGGAGCAGCAGGUCAGCAAGGUGUGGCGCUGCGGCUCAGUGGAAACUACACUAUGCUGUACAGGUGCAGCAUACUAGGAAACCAAGACACGGUUUAUGACAGAGAAGGGAAGCAUUACAUUUUGGAAUGUGAUAUACAGGGAACGGUUGACUUCAUCUGUGGAUUUGGGCAGUCCCUAUACCAGCGAUGCAACCUGCUCUCCGUGGCGACGAGAUUCGGUGCAGUCACCGCGUCAAAGCGCAAGGCCGAUGACGCAGCUGGCUUCUCCUUCUUGGACUGCAACGUCACAGGCUCGGGUACGAUCUAACUAGGAAGAGCCUGGGGGAACUACUCAAGGACAGUGUAUGCCUACUCCUACCUCAGUAGCAUCAUUCGCCCCGAGGGGUGGAGCGAUAUGGGUCAUGGGAAUGCACGCAAGCUGGCCACGUUUGGUGAAUACAAUUGCAAAGGCCCUGGAGCGAACACUAAGGAUCGAGUGUCAUGGCCCCAUGUGCUCACGGAUGAGGAGGCACGUCCUUUCCUCAACAGGAGCUUCAUUGACGCGAGCAGUGGCUGA